CAACCCUUAAGCCUAGCUUAGUGUUGGGAAUCUAUGUUGUGGCCCGCGUUACCCUGUAGCGUGGUUACCCUGUAGUUCCUGAAAAUCAACGGCGGAUGUAUAGUAUCCUCUGAGCGUAGUAAUUCUUUAUCUCGCUUUUGUUUAGGUGCUGUAGAUUCUGCCGCUAAACUCCUAAUUUUUGU
rnacentral:misc_RNA from 1 species